GUCGAGGGGCAGCGAGUAGAUUGCUUGCAAUCUACGUCGGCGACCGGCGCACGGGUGCGUAACGCGUAGCAACCUACCCAUUACAGGGGGAUAACACUGAGAAAUCGGUACUAAUACCCCAUAACAUCCAGGGAGGCAUCUUCUUGGGUUGAAAACUCCGGUGGUAAUGGAUGGGCAUGCGUUGUAUUAGUUAGUUGGUGGGGUAACGGCUCACCAAGACGACGAUACAUAGGGGGACUGAGAGGUUAACCCUCCACAUUGGUACUGAGACACGGACCAAACUCCUACGGGAGGCAGCAGUGAGGAAUAUUGGUCAAUGGACGCAAGUCUGAACCAGCCAUGCCGCGUGCAGGAAGACGGCUCUAUGAGUUGUAAACUGCUUUUGUACGAGGGUAAACGCAGAUACGUGUAUCUGUCUGAAAGUAUCGUACGAAUAAGGAUCGGCUAACUCCGUGCCAGCAGCCGCGGUAAUACGGAGGAUUCAAGCGUUAUCCGGAUUUAUUGGGUUUAAAGGGUGCGUAGGCGGUCGGAUAAGUUAGAGGUGAAAUCCCGGGGCUCAACUUCGGAAUUGCCUCUGAUACUGUUCGGCUAGAGAGUAGUUGCGGUAGGCGGAAUGUAUGGUGUAGCGGUGAAAUGCUUAGAGAUCAUACAGAACACCGAUUGCGAAGGCAGCUUACCAAGCUACUUCUGACGUUGAGGCACGAAAGCGUGGGGAGCAAACAGGAUUAGAUACCCUGGUAGUCCACGCAGUAAACGAUGAUAACUCGUUGUCGGCGA
rnacentral:rRNA from 1 species